rnacentral:miRNA from 1 species
CAGUGCACAUAUAACAGUAA